UCUACGUUUGGUGAAAGCAGCAUGUGCUGAGGCGCUCCGCACAAACUAUGGCUCAGUGAAGCUGCGGCUCUUGACGAGAGCGCGUCGUGUCAGCAGAGACUCUGACUGCAGCUGCCGCAGAUACCAUCAUUGCGCUGGACCCUAAGGAGGAAUCAGCAUCUUCGAAAAUAAUCGUUCUGAUUGCUUUGCUGGAUUUGCCUGGGCGUAAAUCGUUUAAUGCUGGGGCUCUUUGGACGAAUUAACGGGAUUAAUCGCGACAUUGACAAACGUGGAGAAGUUAUUAUUGUUUUGUGUUUUUGUUUAAACGUGAUCACGAUGAUAGCAGCUGAUGGAUUGAAAACUCCAGCUAUGGAUCUUUUCGCGUGUUAUAAGGAAAUGCUGACUUCAGUCUGGGAUGAGUUUCUACUCCUGCCACAGAUUCAGCUGCUGGACAAGUCUCUUGGGAUAUUUGGGAUACACGCGUGGUCAAGUGCUGACAUUUUCAUAGAUGGUUAAUGUUAUAUGCUGAUUUCGGAAAUGAAAUCUGUAUUUGGUGGAUUUGUUUUUUUUUUUUUUUGCACAGUUGGAUAUCUUGGAUUAUGUUUUGGAAGCUGUGCUCCAGUGGAUGUCCAGUGAUUUGGAUAAUAUGUGCGCAUCUCCUGAUUCCGCAGUGAAGGAAUCCAAAUUCUCGAGAUGAGAGUACGACCUUUAAUUGCAUGCUAGCGAUCUUCUGAUGAUCACCAAGAAGGGGCUGAGUAAUGGAAACAUGACCUCAAGAGAUUCAACAGGGUGAGGCAUGUGAGAGAAACGUGGGAAGGGAAAAUCCAGAAUGGAGGCCAGAAGAGAUGCACAAAGUCAGGAUCAUACUAAAUCCCGGUUUGGACUGUUGGACCAGCAUCCUCUGAAGCAGAUGUUUGCUCCUGGCAAGGCUGCCGACAACAUGAGCUCCAACACUGGCAAUCUAGCUCUCAGGAUUCAGUGAGCAGCGUGAGCUUGGAGGAGCUAUGACAUAAACGCAGCAGGACGGUGAAUCGCGUUUUGCUGCUCAGACAUCAUGGAACAGAUCAGUCAGCCCCAUCUGGAGAAGUGCUCUAUAGAAGAGUCAUAUAUUUACCAUAGUUACUUUGAUGGAUACAGCAUGUUGUUUGACUUUAUUUUUCCAAUUGAUUUUAAUAGAAAUGAUAAUUUCCCGCCAUCUAUGUAUCUUCUCUUGUUUUGCAGAUUUUAAUUACAGUGUCGCUCAUUCAGUAACUUCAGCAUUUACUGUGUAAUUUUUGUCAAUUUUUGUAAUGUGACUGUUUUCAAAGUGGCUCUUCUAAAACUGCAUAAGAACGUUUAUCCAGGGAGGAGCACAAAAAAUGUCUCCUACUGUGUAUAAAGACUUAAUGCACAUGUGAUUGAGAUUAAUCAGACGAAUCACUCAGUCAGUGGAUAUGUGAUUUUCAUCUUCGACAAAGAAGCCAUUGUCAUUAAUGUAAAACCAUGAAUUGUCCUUCUUACGCUGUAUUUUAUUGUGACACAUUGGCAGCUUCUGCUAAUUUCAGUUAAUAAUCCUGUCAAGCAGUUUAUUCUCAUUAUGAUUUAUGACUCCAUAGCUUUUGUUGUUUUUGUUAAGCCCUGUUAGCAGAAAUUAAAAGGUGU